GGAGUCUGGUCCGUGUCUCAGUACCAGUGUGGGGGACCUUCCUCUCAGAACCCCUACUGAUCGAAGGCUUGGUGGGCCGUUACCCCGCCAACAACCUAAUCAGACGCAUCCCCAUCCCACAGCGAUGAAUCUUUGCUCCUCAUUAGAUGCCCGCAAAGGAGAACAUAGGGUAUUAAUCCGACUUUCGCCGGGCUAUGCCCUACUGUGGGGAAGGUUGGAUACGCGUUACUCACCCGUGCGCCGGUCGCCAGCAAAGAUAGCAAGCUAUCUCCCUGAUGCCCCUCGACUUGCAUGUGUUAAGCCUGUAGCUAGCGUUCAUC
rnacentral:rRNA from 1 species